rnacentral:lncRNA from 1 species
GAUUGACCAAAAUGGUGGGCUUGGAGUAGAGCUGUGGAUGGCAUUACAAAUGAUACAUUAUUGACUGAAGCAGCAAACCUCGUUCCGUUUGGUCCCUGGCAGGUUUGGUUUUUAGAGCAUGGGUUUGUUCCAAGGCCUACAGUGAAGACAAAUUGUCUGUCAACCUUUUGAGGAACAUUGGCAGGGAAGUCUGCACUGGCUAAGCUGCGGAGCUUGCUAGAAAAGUUUGUAGCAAAUGAAGUGUCGUUUAGUGGUGGUAGAUUUGGCUUAUAGAGUGGGAGUUUCUUGGUGGAGUGGUUUGAUUGACUGGUUUUGUUUGGCACUUCAUAUUCUAAAAUGCCAGCAACAGUUGAAUUAUCGAAAGUUCCUUGACCAGUCGCGUAAGGUCUAGCAGACAUGAAAAAUUGGGCAUUUGGGUAGUCGGGUUUGGUUUUCAGAAGAACGUUUGUGGUUUGUCCAGGGGUAAUGAGAAGUGUCUCGGCAUCAAAUGGCUUGACAUAAACAGCAUCAACAUCAACAACUGUGACUGUGUGGUUUGCUAUGCUGAAGAAGAGCUCGUCAUUGAGUGCGGCAUUGAUCAUGCGAAGAAGGUACGUCUUCCCUGGCUUUACCUUCAGCUUGAAAGUAUCUGCCAGGUACCAUGUACACAAGUUAAACGAGGGAGGAAAAAGGCAAAAAAAACAGAAGAAGGUUCAGUAUUGUCGUAGAAGGCCGACUCAGCAAAAAUAUUUUACCUUUGGCAGAGCAGUUAUACAGUGGCCCUGGAAGUCCAUUGAUAGUAUAAGCAUCAGAGACAUUUGGGCCUCCACCAGUUUGCAUUGCCUGGUUAAUGAUCGCCUCUGGAUCUGCAUUAAACCACUCCCCUGCAAUUUAUUUGUAUUAUGGUUUGUGUUAGCAGACAUAGACUCCCUCAACAGGAAAAAAAAGUCAACGUAAAUUUCAAUUAGCUCCUCAAAGUAGCUUGAUUUCUUGUAGUUGAUUACCAAAGAUGAUUGGAACCUCCUUGUAAGGUUUAGCAAAUGGGUAAGGAGUUCCGAGUUUGGGAAGAAGGAUUAUGGGACCAUAGAGAGUUGAUCUUAACCAUGAAAUAUGGGCAUGCCACCAAAGAGUGCCUCUCUGUCCUACAAUGGUGUAGUUGUACACAUAGCUUUGUCCAGUUUGUAUAGGGCACUGAGUUACGUAUGCUGGUCCAUCGGCCCACCCGCUGCGAAGCUGUCGAAUCCCAUGCCUGCAUGGAUCAAUGAAAACAUAAACUGAGAUUUAGACACAGCCUUUUCUAUACAAGAAGGUCCAUUAUACUUGGUGAAAAUUGAAGCUCGUCCUUGUACCAGUGAAUAGAGAUGUUGUUUUGGACAUGGUUGACCACUGUAAUAACAAGACGAUCACCCUCUCUAGCUACAAUGCGAGGCCCCGGGAACUUCCCAUUGACUGUAACCAUGCUCUUGGUAUGGCAAAGGCGUGUCACAUUUUGCAGCAUAACCUGUAAAAUUUUAUUUUCUAUACUGUCAAAAAAUAAAGUGCAGAACUCAUUCGACUAAGAAGAAAAAAAAACAAGAAGAGAGAAUAUUUGAACAAUUUUAGGUGCUUUGUCAACGACAUUUCACAUGUAACCCAUACAUCAAAUUUGUAGUGCCUAGUAAUGGCAAGUGCAGGCUCAGGAUUGACAGACAAAGUGACAAAUGAGAAGAGAAACACUGCCAGAAAUGCUGGUGGAGGAAGAAGAGAGGCACCCAUUUUUCUGAUAUGUUUCUUCUUUUGGAGCAGGCUAGAAGAAAGAAGCCGUUCUUUUUUGGGACUGUGUGCACAUCAAAGCUCGGAAACCAGUAUAUAUAGAGAGAGUUGAAGGAGGGUUGUUUCGAUGAUUAGGUGCAGAAAUUAUAAAGUUUAAAAAUGAAAAGAAAACUAGAACAAGCCUCAUGAACCAGAUGUGUAUCUGUAGAUGUUUUCAGCUCAGUAACAACUCUAGAGUGCAGUCAAAGCCAAUUUCCUUCGCGUCCCUACUUAAAUAAUGAUAUCCCACUUUUUUUUGGCAUGGCAUUGCCCAGAUUCCUUCCAUGCAUUUUCUGUUUUUGGUAAAACAGACUUCCAUUUUCAGCAACAAGGAGAGUUUUCAUCUAUACUGCUUCCACACACAUCCCUGGCAAUAUUGGAGUAACAAAGACUGUAAACGCCAGAAACAAUGGCUUGCUUUAUGCAUAGUUUUAGGUCAAUUCUUAGCCAGUUUUUCACCUUAUGAUGAUCAGGUUAGAAAAUGGAAGUUAAGCUUGCUAUAUUCUUCCUUCAGUAAAAUCACUUUCAUCUUGAAUAUUCAAAUAUCUUGAGAUGUUGGCAGAUUACUGUCGCUUAAGAAUAUGUUUAGACUUUUUGUUCGAGUGCUAGCGUUGCUACUGUUGACCAUAUAAAUGCAAUGGAUUGAUUAGCUAGCUUGCACUAUCAAAUCUUAAUGGAAGUUUUUUCAGUUGGUCGAAUUACCAAUGGCGCAACCUACUUGUGAAAGAACAGUCGUAGCUAGCCAACAUAAAGCUUAACCAUGUUUGUCAUCUAUGUAAGAUCAUUAACAACAGUGCUUGCUGAUAAAGCUAACCAAGAUAGAUGUUUCCAUCAAAGAAGGUCCAUUUCAGUGUUAGAUGGGCGUCAUGAAGUACAGGCCAUACAUAGCUAGAUGAAUCGUAGGGAGACCGCACAUGAAGCAUUUUUAUCUCAAGCAAACAUAGCAACGCACUAACUACCACGGGAAAAUAUAAUCACAACCAGAAAAUCUUAAAACACUUGAGGAAUAUUCUGUCGGUACUGUAAACACACUAAUUUUGUCGAUGUAAAAAUCACAUCACUGAUGAUUUUAUUGUUGGAAACGUGUUAUUAAGAAAUAUCUCUUCAAUGAUCCAUACUUGUCGGUAAUUUUGCCGUUGAUUUUUAUACCAAUAAAUAUAGCAACGAAUUAUUGUCAUCGGUCCUUGAAAAAGGAGCCGACCAACAUCAGUCGUCAAUUUUGUUGGUAAAUAUUACCAAUGGAUACUUCUGUCUCAUGAACGGUUUUACCGAUAGAACAUCGAUGGCAUAUUGCUUCGGUGUUCCCAUCGAGAUGGGUCAAAACAAUUAAUAAUUCUUUGUAAUUCUCUAAUGAAAAGAUUGAGCAUUUUCUGACAAAAAUUAUGUUGGUAUUUAAACAAGAUGUUUUUUUUAAAUGCUAUAAAACAAUUUCACAAUGGAAUUAAACAACAUCAAAUAACUAAUUUAAAUUGAAAAAUAAAUUUUAUAUAAUGUAAAAAAAUUAAAUAUGGCUAUAAAAAUCAAUGAAAUUGAAUUACAAAAUUUAUAUAAUGUAAAAAUCAAUUGCAAAUAUAUAUACAAAUCAAUUACAAGCUCGAGGUGGAGGUGGAGGUGGGGGGAUCUCGUGGAGGUUUGUAGAAGAGAGGGUAAUGACUGGAAAAGUAUGCUUCAUACCUUGUCAUGAUCUCCUCCAGAUUUUUUUCUUGUGCUUCAUACUUUGCUUUCAUUUUAGCCGUCAGAGUACCAACUCGUUGUUCAACCAACUCCUCAACGGUUAGUGAUGGUUGACUCCGGCUGAAUUGUGGGGUGUCUAGAGUCGAGACACUACAACCUAAUCUCAUAUAUAUCUUGGGCCAUAGUCAUAGAGAUACCAUAAACCCGAUUCUUAUCAGGUCCACCGGUUUCUCCAGCCUUCAACUACAAAUUCGGAUCGUAUUCUGGAUGAGUUAAAGGGUCCUCUCAAUGUUUUAACACAUUGCAAUGUUAUAAUGUCCCUAAACCACAGAAAAAUAAGUAAGAGAUAUGAUGAGAAAACAUUAGUCCAAACAAUGUACAAAAAGUCUACUUACAAUAAACACCUCAAUUUGGCUAUCAAAAAAAUAUUACAUCUCUCUUUGUCUAUCCUCCCUUUGUAUAUGUGUUUCCAUGUACCACUCCAUUAGAAUAGACUCGCUCCCAAGCUGUGUAGCUUGUAAAAUAAAUUUGUCUUAGUUAAACAUAAAUUACAGGUACCAUUUUAAGAAAAAUACUUGAAAUUAAAACAAGCUCUCUUAUAAAGCGUUUUGCAUGGUUUGUAAAAGGAAGUGACUUAUCGGUAUAUUGCUAAUGGAACCGUGAGUCUCCUUGUUUCUGUUCGAGGACCCACUCCUUGAACACCUCCUAAAACCCUCUGACGUAUAAAACUCUAAAUAGUUCUCCUAGUUGCUCUCAGUGGUGUGGAGAGAUAAAAAAUUCUUCCAUUCCUCAAAGCUAUUUGACUCGGCUCUUCUUUUAGCAUAGGUGUGUGCCUUUAUAUCAUAAAUCACACAACCUAGUUCAAAAAUUCAUUAAACUAAAAAAAAUAUAACAAAAAAUUAUUAAAAUUUUACAAAUAAACAUUUACAAUUAACAAAUUAAAAUUUACCUAGUUGAGCUAUAAUUUUUCUAGACUUGUCUUGCCACCUUUAAGUUUACCUCAUCCCAUCAUAAUUUUUCCUUGAAAUUAUUUUCGUAAAAUAAUUAGUUUCCAAGUUUUAAGAACAUCUUUUAUCCACUAAAAGUGUUGAUUACAUAUUAACCUUGAACUUCCUCCACCAAGUAUCAACCACAAGCCUCCAUUUUGGAAGAACAAAUCUGGAAAAGGGCCGAUGAAUAGAAUUAGUUUUAAGAAACCAAUAGAAGAGAAUAAAAUUUUCAUCAGAACAGUUUAUGGUCUGACUAUUACUGAGAAGUAAAUAUAAGCCUUUAAUGUUGGCAUUUGGGGAGAUCAGCUGAUGGAGGAAGCAGUUUUUGAUCUGCAAGUUUGCCAUCCAAGACAACCCAAGCCAUCCAAGCCACAUGUGUGCCUGUUGGUUAAUUUCGCAAGUGCACGAAUCGUAACAAGUAAUAAAGUGAUGAGUAGAGUAUCGUCCGACGAGGAUUUGUAAAAAUUACUACUAAUUACCAAAGUCUUUUAAAUUAUGAUCUAUUUGAGGAAUCGAAUGAGAUAGUUUAUGAAACAAAAAUUAAUGAUUAAAAAAAAACAAACAAAAAAUGAUUAAAUAUUAAUGAAUUCAAUUGUACUGGUUCUAGGAUUUCUGACUUACCGUAACUAUGCUUAUGUGAACUUUCUCGAUUAAAUUAAUUACUCCUAAUGUUGAUAAUCAGGUUUUCCUAAUGUAAAUAUUAAUCUCUCUCGAGCAUCAAUAAAUUAUUUCGACAAACAAAUUUCAUAUACUCUAUGAAAGUCCUGAACUUGUCGAAAUUUAUUAAGUACUGUAAAACCUGUAUCGACUACAAAAGUUCCUAGGAUAUCUCUAUCCUAUAGAUUUCUUAAGGUAUUUCAAACAAUAGCUAAAACAAUUAUCACUUCUCAGUUUCAAAUUGAAUUCUAAAUCAUGCAGAUGUUGGCCAAACACACGCAAGCAUUACACAUAGAAUGAAAUACUCAACAUCUUAAUGUAAUAAUUCAAUCGAAGAAAUUGUUCACAUAUUCAUAGUAAGGUUACAUCAAAAAUCCCAGAAUAAAAGUCUACUCCAUAGUUAAAUUAAAGAGAAACAAACUUGAUACGAUGAACAUCACUCAAAAGCAGAGAAUUUCAGUGGAAGAGAUAGGUGUCCUCUCGGUCUUCAAUAUUUUUGCCUCUGUUCUUUUUGUUCCUGUUUGGUGCCGCCUCCUCUGUUUUUCUUUGCUCUGUUAUAGGGUUUUCCAAGUGUCUCUCCUCUGUUUUUCAGACCCCGUAACUCUUCUUUUAUAUUGUGGCUUUUCUACCCCUGUAGUAAUGAAGAAAAUUUCCUUUUCUGCAUUGAUUUCUCCUACCCAGACAUUGCGGGCCAGAUUUGAGGUAGGAAACGUGCGAAUUAAAAACUCUCUAUUUCUGGAGAAAUUGUAGAGAAUCAAAUUUUCUUUCCAGCGACACUGAUCUUGCAAUUUUUGGACCUCUGAGCGUUGAGAUAUGGGCUAUAAACCGAAACAGUCUUUGCAGUGCAGGAAUUUCGGGCUGGUUCAAUCCUUGUUUUUCAACUCGCUUUUUGGGCUUCGAAACAACAAAACUGAGUUAUAUGUCCUUCAUAUGUUUUGUAGACCUUCAUCUCAGCUAUUUGAAAAUGGUUACGAACAUCCGGGACUAAAUUGUAUAGCUUCUUUGCAGCACAUAAUGAAUCAUUGUUCAGUUUCACUGCCCGGCUCUGCCUGUUCAGUAACCUAAGAUCUGAAAACACAUUAAUUUCCCACGAGGUCAAUAGUUCAAAAAGAGAUUCAAAAGUCUAAUUUUCUUGUGCAACAUAUCCAAAAUAUUUAAAAAUCAAGCAUGAAUAACAGAAAAUAUACAUGCUAAAAAUUCCCUUAUCAAAUACCCCCAAACUUGAAUGUUUGCUUGUCCUCAAGCAAAAAGGAAACCAUGAAAGCAUAGUGCUAAAAGCUCAUGAUAAGUUCAACUUUGACAUUUAAAAGGCUCCAUCAUGCAACAUUCACUUCUUGACUUAGCUCAUAGACAAUAUUAGAUAAUGGAAAACUAAGCAUUCCUACUCUCUGUGCAGACCGUUGUACAAACUUCCAACUCAUCCAUGUGUUUCAUGUGUUUAGCAUCCUUGAACCGUGCACAGUCAUUCUGCCAUUAUUAUUUUUUUUUUUUGAACAAGGUAGCCAACUUUAGGAGUAAUAACACACUUUUACUUGUCUUUUGACAAGGGUGAUUUUUUAAAAUUUAUCACUUGUCUUUUAACGCGAAUACAAACAUUUGUGAUGAAUGCACCCGGUUACUUAACAGGUCAUAAACUUAAAAUGCUUUGCAUACUCAUAUUUUAAGCUGCCGUUUGACAUAAAAGUAAACAUUUAUGAUGAAUACUCCUAGUUACUAAGCAACUCAAAACAUUGGAGUAGAUACACAUCAUAUACUUAUUCAUUCACUUUCAUACUCAUUAUCACUCCUUGUUUUGAUAUUUUUCUUAGAGGGUAAUAACAAAAAAGAACAGCACACUUAUCUCUUAUGCAUAACUACACAAUUCACCUGACUGUGUUGGAAAAGUGUACUUCAAUAAUUCAACAGAAAAUAGUCAUGCUUAAUCCAACUUUAUAAGAUAUUAUCCACUCUAAGCCUAGGAAUAUCAUGGAUACAUCAUGAAGCACCUAAAAAUGUCAAAGUUGGUCUUAAAUGCAUAUCACUUUUCACCCUCUGUUUUCAUGGUUCCAGUGUGCAGUGUCUUUCAUAGUCAAAGCAUGCAAUGUCUCCCCCAAACUUAAAUAUCACAUUGUCCUCAAUGGAAAAACAAAGAAUAGAAAGGCUUACGAAUACUUCCUUUUGACUAUGUGGGUGUGAGUUUGUUGUUGCUCCUGGUUAUUUGCUUGUAUGAUCAAUCCCUGCACAACUCAAUAAAACCAAUAAGGUUUUUUUUUUUUUUUGGGUUGCCUCCCAAUCAGCGCUUAGUUAUAGUCAUUAGCUUGACUUUUCCAUUUAGCUAAGAUGAAGUGAGAGGGAUAUCAUCCCUUUUUCCAAUAGACUCUCCAUUCCUAUAAUGCUUCAGACGCUGCCCAUUCACUGUGAAUGUUCCCUUUUCAUCAUGAGUGACCUCUACUGCUCCAUAAGGAAAUACCUUCACAACCGUAAAUGGUCCUGACCACCGUGAUUUGAGCUUACCAGGAAACAAGCGGAGCCGUGAAUUGAAAAGUAAUACCUGCUAACCAGGGACAAACUCCUUGCGUACAAUGUGUUUGUCAUGCCAUGCCUUGGUUCUUUCCUUGUAUAUCUUGGCAUUCUCAUAGGACUCAUUGCGAAAUUCAUCCAUCUCAUUAAGUUGCAGGAUUCUUUUCUCACCUGCAACCUGCAGAUCCAUGUUCAGUUGUUUCAUUGCCCAGUAUGCCUUAUGUUCUAAUUCAACAGGAAGAUGGCAUGCUUUUCCAAAAAAUAAUCGAUACGGAGACAUUCCCAAUGGUGUUUUGAAUGCUGUCCGAUAUGCCCACAAUGCAUCAUCUAGCUUUCAUGCCCAAUCUUUCCGAGAAUUACUUACUGUUUUCUCUAAGAUUUGCUUCACCUCUCUAUUUGAUACCUCUGUUUGGCCAUUUGUCUGAGGAUGAUAAGCCAGUGCUCGUUUGUGUCUGACUCCAUACUUAGAUAGCAGUGCUUCAAACUGCUUGUUGCAAAAAUGAGUUCCUUCAUCACUGAUGAUGGCUCGAGGAGUACCAAAUCUGGUAAAGAUGUUCUUUCGUAGAAAAUUAAGUACCACCUUGCCAUCAUUUGUAGGCAUUGCAAUUGCCUCGAUCCACUUUGAUACAUAAUCCACUGCUAAGAGAAUGUAUUUGUUGUUAUAUGAUGAAGGAAAAGGUCCCAUGAAAUCGAUGCCCCAAACAUCAAAUAAUUCAACUUCUAGGAUAUUCUGCAGUGGCAUUUCAUUUCGUCGAGAUAUAUUCCCAAUAUGCUGACAUCUAUCACAAGCAGUAACAAAAGCAUGAGCAUCUUUAAACAUAGUGGGCCAAUAAAAACCUGAUUGCAGAACUUUGGCUGCAGUGCGCUGAGUUCCAAAGUGCCCCCCAUAUUCAAGUGUGUGGCAAUGCUUCAAUAUGUUUGUCAUUUCCUCUUCUGGAACGCACCUCCUGAUGACUUGAUCUGCACAAUACCGAUAGAGUAUCGGCUCCUCCCAAAAGUAGUGUUUGACUUCAGAAAAAAAUUUCUUCUUUUGCCAGUAAGAAAAAUCUGGCGGUAUGAUUUUACCUGCAAGAAAGUUGACAUAAUCUGCAUACCAAGGAAAGAAUUUGUUAGUGGAAAUUGCUAAGAGUCUUUCAUCAGGAAAACAUUCAUUUAUAACCGUGAAUUUAGGCUCCAGCUGCUGUGUCAAUUCCAGCCUUGAAAGAUGAUCUGCCACCACGUUCUCAGUCCCCUUUUUAUCUUUAAUUUCUACAUCAAAUUCUUGCAGUAAUAGGAUCCAACGGAUGAGUCUAGGUUUGGCAUCUUUCUUAGACACUAGGUGUCUAAUUGCAGCAUGAUCAGUAUACACUAGUACUUUGUUUCCCAUCAGGUAAGGCCGAAACUUAUCAAAUGCAUAGACCACAGGAAGCAACUCUUUCUCGGUUGUGGCGUAAUUGAGCUGGGCAUCGUUGAGUGUUCUGCUGGCAUAGUAUAUGGUGUGAAACACAUUAUUUUUCCGUUGCCCCAGUACUGCUCCAACUGCAUAAUCACUUGCAUCACACAUAAGCUCAAAUGGUUUCUCCCAAUCUGGUGCAAUUACAAUAGGAGCUGUCACUAACUUCUUUUUCAACAGCAUAAAGGCUGUCUUGCAUUCCUCAUCAAACUGAAACUUUGUGUCUUUUAGCAGCAGACUGCAUAGCGGUUUGGAUAUUUUAGAGAAGUCUUUGAUGAACCUCCUAUAAAAUCCCGCAUGACCAAGGAAACUCCUAACCCCUUUGACUGUAGUUGGCGGCAGAAGCUUGUCUAUUGCCUCAAUUUUAGCUCUGUCUACCUCUAUUCCUUUUUCUGAAAUCCGGUGCCCCAACACUAUACCUUCCUUUACCAUGAAGUGACAUUUUUCCCAAUUCAAAAUCAAGUUUGUCUUUUCACAACGCUCCAACACCAAUGCCAACUUUGCAAGGAAAUCAUCGAAAGAAGUUCCAAAUACAGAAAAGUCAUCCAUGAAGACCUCAAUGAUCUGCUCCACCAUAUCUGAAAAGAUAGCCAUCAUGCACCUCUGAAAAGUAGCUGGUGCAUUACACAACCCAAAAGGCAUUCUUCUGAAAGCAAAAGUACCAUAAGGGCAGGUGAAAGUGGUCUUCUCUUGGUCCUCAGGUGCAAUGGCUAUUUGGAUGUAUCCCGAAUAACCAUCUAAGAAACAGUAGUAUUCAUGCCCAGCUAACCUGUCCAGCAUCUAAUCAAUGAAUGGUAGGGGGAAGUGAUCUUUGCGUGUUGCCUUGUUGAGCUUUCGAUAAUCCAUGCAAAUCCUCCAUCCAGUUACCGGUCUAGUAGGUAUCAAGUUGUUGUUUGCAUCCUUUACCACUGUUAUUCCUCCUUUCUUUGGCACAACUUGAACUGGGCUCACCCAUGAGCUAUCAGAGAUUGGAUAAAUAACACCAGCAUCUAACCAUUUUAGAACUUCUUUUCGGACUACCUCUUUCAUGGUCGGGUUAAGCCUUCUCUGAUGUUCUACUGUUGGCUUGACUUCAUCCUCCAACAGAAUUUUAUGCAUGCAAAUAGAGGGACUGAUGCCUUUGAUAUCUGCCAAUACCCACCCGAGAGCUGCCUUAUGUUUUCUCAACACCCUCAAUAAUUUUUCUUCCUCUGUUUUGGUCAGCUUUGCAGAGACUAUCACAGGAUAGGUGGAAGCUUCUCCAAGAUAUGCAUACCGAAGGUGUUCUGGCAGAGGUUGCAAUUCCAGAACCGGUGCUUGUUCACUGGUUGAUUUUAUUUUUGGUGCUGGUUGUCCCAAAUCUUCAAAGUAUCUUCUGCGGUUAGGUUCAAAAGAGUCCAUCCAACAUGUAUAUUCUGCUAUUUCAGCAUCCUCUUCCAGUACAUUAUUUACCAAACAUGCUUCCAACGGGUCAGUUGUAAGCUUGACUUUGUCAUUAAUUAAAGAGUCCACCACUUGAAUGCUGAAGCAACUCUCCCCCGUAUCUGGCUGUUUGAUGGCUUUGAACACAUUGAAAAUCACCUCCUCUUCAUUCACCCUUAAACGCAGCUCCCCUUUCUUCACAUCAAUUAACGCACCUCCAGUGGCCAAGAAUGGCCGGCCAAGCAAGAUAGCAAUCUCAUUAUCCUCCUCCAUAUCCAGUAUGAUGAAGUCUGCUGGAAAGAUGAACUUGCCCACUUUCACCAGUACGUCUUCAAUUAUGCCCCUUGGAUGCUUCAAUGACCUGUCAGCUAGCUGCAGUGUUACUGUGGUUGGCCUUGCUUCACCUAAACCAAGCUUCUUAAAAAUAGAUAAAGGCAUGAGAUUAAUACUUGCACCUAAAUCACAUAAAGCUUUUUCAAAUAUAGAAUUUUCAAUGGAACAUGGUAUAGUAAAACUCCCUGGAUCCUUAAGUUUAAGAGGCAAUUUCUUCUGCAAAAUGGCACUGCAUUCCUCAGUAAGAGCAACAGUCUCAUAUUCCUCUAGCUUUCUUUUGUUUGAGAGGAUGUCCUUCAAAAAUUUCACAUAGCUUGGCAUUUGUUCAAGAGCAUCUGCAAAAGGAAUGUUAAUCUGCAAUUUUUUAAACACAUCAAGAAAUUUAGAAAAUUGCUUAUCAAGUUUAUUCUUCUUGAGACGUUGUGGAAAUGGAAUUCUCUGCAUUAUUUCUUGCGUUGGUUCUGGCAGAGGAUCAGAUUUUUUCAUAUUCUGAAGUGCUUUGGCCACUUGCUCCUCCUCUUCUCUUCCUGCACUAUUGUUUCCAGCGGUCUGCUCCACUUCUUUUCCACUUCGUAAAGUUAUGGCCUUGUAUUGCUCCUUAGGAUUAAUUUCAGUUGUGCUUGGUAGAUUUCCUUGUUGUCUACCCAUGAGCAUGUUGGUUAACUGACCAACUUGAACCUCCAAAUUUCGAAUAGAAGCUGUUUGGUUCUGCAGAUUAGUAUUUGUUUCAGUCAUGAAUCUGCUGGUGUUGUUUGCUAAUUAUGUCAUAGCUUCUUCAAGUUUUGAUUUCUCUUUCAUGUGCUCACUUGAAGAUGGCAUGGCUGGAUUAUUCAUGACAGUUUGAUUGUUCCAAGAGAAAUUAGGAUGAUUUCUCCAACCGGGAUUAUAUGUUGCACUGUAGGGGUUGUUCUGCCGGCUGUAGUUUGACACAAAAUGAGCAUGCUCUGCUUGAGAGAAUGGGUUCCCAACCUGACACUCUUCACUUGUGUGAUUUCCAUGGCAAAAAUCACACGUUGUAUGGAUGGCAUUUGCUGACAGUUGAGUGGUUUUCAGUUGCUGAGUUAGUGAAUGGACUUGAGCUGUUAAUGCCGUGAUUGCAUCAAUUUCAUGCACCCCGACAGUCUUCUUCUGUAUGCUUCUUUCAUUUGGCCAUUGGUAAUUGUUCAUAGCCAUUUCUUCUAAUAAGUUGUAAGCAUCAUCCUGUGACUUACUCAUAAAAGCUCCUCCUGAAGCUGCAUCAAUUAGUGUUCUUGUGGAGGCAUUCAAUCCAUUGUAAAAAUUCUGCACCUGCAUCCACUUCGGUAGUCCAUGGUGGGGGCAUCGCCUGAGCAAAUCCUUGUAUCUCUCCCAUGCCUCAUACAAUGGUUCACUCUCAAGUUGGGCAAAGUUAGCUAUCUCAAUGCGCAUUUUUGCUGUCUUGGCUGGUGGAAAAAAUUUAGCAAGGAAUUUCUGAGCUAAAUCUUCCCAACUAAUAACUGAAUCUGCAGGCAUGGAGUUUAACCAGUUCUUCGCUCUAUCUCGCAGAGAAAAUGGAAACAGUCUGAGGCGAAUGGCAUCAUCAGUAACGCCAUUAUACUUAAAUGUGUCGCAAAUUUCCAAGAAACUUGCAAUAUGGGCGUUAGGAUCAUCACUUGGCAACCCAUAAAACUGAAUUGAGGUCUGAAUCAUCUGCAGUAUUGCUGGUUUGAUCUCAAAAUUAUUGGCCUCAAUCCUUGGUUUCCUGAUAACAGAACGGAUUCCUGUCACCUGUGGGAGAGCAAAAUCUCUCAAUACCCGUGUGUCUUGCUCAGGAUUUUCAUUGUCUGCCAUGAUGCCUGAACUGUUUUGAGUCUUUCGCGUUUUCUUUCUUAAUCCCCUUGCAGUUCUCUCAAUCUCAGAAUUAUAAGGUAGCAACGGCUGGUUUUUGUUGCUUCUCAUGCACUAGACAACACACCUAAAAAGCUGAAGACAAAAGGCAAUCAAAUUAGAUCAAAUUUAAUUUAUAUUGAUAUUAUUAGUAAUUUUAUCUAAAAUCCCCGGCAGCGGCGCCAAAAACUUGUUGGUUAAUUUCGCAAGUGCACGAAUCGUAACAAGUAAUAAAGUGAUGAGUAGAGUAUCGUCCGACGAGGAUUUGUAAAAAUUACUACUAAUUACCAAAGUCUUUUAAAUUAUGAUCUAUUUGAGGAAUCGAAUGAGAUAGUUUAUGAAACAAAAAUUAAUGAUUAAAAAAAAACAAACAAAAAAUGAUUAAAUAUUAAUGAAUUCAAUUGUACUGGUUCUAGGAUUUCUGACUUACCGUAACUAUGCUUAUGUGAACUUUCUCGAUUAAAUUAAUUACUCCUAAUGUUGAUAAUCAGGUUUUCCUAAUGUAAAUAUUAAUCUCUCUCGAGCAUCAAUAAAUUAUUUCGACAAACAAAUUUCAUAUACUCUAUGAAAGUCCUGAACUUGUCGAAAUUUAUUAAGUACUGUAAAACCUGUAUCGACUACAAAAGUUCCUAGGAUAUCUCUAUCCUAUAGAUUUCUUAAGGUAUUUCAAACAAUAGCUAAAACAAUUAUCACUUCUCAGUUUCAAAAUGAAAUACUCAACAUCUUAAUGUAAUAAUUCAAUCGAAGAAAUUGUUCACAUAUUCAUAGUAAGGUUACAUCAAAAAUCCCAGAAUAAAAGUCUAAUUCACAUAUUCAUAGUAAGGUUACAUCAAAAAUCCCAGAAUAAAAGUCUACUCCAUAGUUAAAUUAAAGAGAAACAAACUUGAUACGAUGAACAUCACUCAAAAGCAGAGAAUUUCAGUGGAAGAGAUAGGUGUCCUCUCGGUCUUCAAUAUUUUUGCCUCUGUUCUUUUUGUUCCUGUUUGGUGCCGCCUCCUCUGUUUUUCUUUGCUCUGUUAUAGGGUUUUCCAAGUGUCUCUCCUCUGUUUUUCAGACCCCGUAACUCUUCUUUUAUAUUGUGGCUUUUCUACCCCUGCAGUAAUGAAGAAAAUUUCCUUUUCUGCAUUGAUUUCUCCUACCCAGACAUUGCGGGCCAGAUUUGAGGUAGGAAACGUGCGAAUUAAAAACUCUCUAUUUCUGGAGAAAUUGUAGAGAAUCAAAUUUUCUUUCCAGCGACACUGAUCUUGCAAUUUUUGGACCUCUGAGCGUUGAGAUAUGGGCUAUAAACCGAAACAGUCUUUGCAGUGCAGGAAUUUCGGGCUGGUUCAAUCCUUGUUUUUCAACUCGCUUUUUGGGCUUCGAAACAACAAAACUGAGUUAUAUGUCCUUCAUAUGUUUUGUAGACCUUCAUCUCAGCUAUUUGAAAAUGGUUACGAACAUCCGGGACUAAAUUGUAUAGCUUCUUUGCAGCACAUAAUGAAUCAUUGUUCAGUUUCACUGCCCGGCUCUGCCUGUUCAGUAACCUAAGAUCUGAAAACACAUUAAUUUCCCACGAGGUCAAUAGUUCAAAAAGAGAUUCAAAAGUCUAAUUGUCUUGUGCAACAUAUCCAAAAUAUUUAAAAAUCAGUGCCCUUCUAGAUGGCUUUGCAUGAAUCCUACACAUGUUCACAUACAAUCAACAUCAUCAGAAAUUAACAUUGUUGGCAUUGCGAAUGGAACAUUGUUCACUGAAGCUGCAAACAUUGUUCCAUUUGGUCUCUCACAGGUUUGGUUUUUAGAACAUUGGUUUGUAUCAGACCUACUGUGAAGAAAAAUUGCUUAUCGACCUUUUGAGGCAUAUUAUUGGUAGGGAAUCCAGCACAAGCUAAGCUACGAAGUUUGCUUGUAAAAUUUGUAGCAAAUGAAGUGUAAUUUAGAGGUGGUAGAUUUGGUUUAUAGAGUGCGAGUUUUGUAAUUGAGUGGUUUGAAUGAAAGGCUUGGGGGUGAUAAUUCAUAUUCCAAAAUGCCAGCAACUGUUGAAUUGUAACAAGUUCCUUGUCCAUUCAUGCAUGCAGAAGCUCAACAAGGACACAAGCAAGCAUAAAAAGACCCGAUGUAGGCCGAAACAGGGAUAAAACAAAAACAAGCCCUAAAAUCUUAUUUUUAUUUCUAAAAUAUUAAUCUGACAAAGUUUUGCCUCUUAAAGAGGUUAAUAGUGUUUUUAAAUAGGCUAAAAAGUCAUCUAAACUAUGUAAUGAAAUCAAAAUUUUAAAAUAAAAAGGAAAAUAACACAAAACUCAAAAUAACACAAGAAAUCCAAAAAAAUCAAGAAAAAAAAACAAAAAAAGAUUAACCGAGCCUAAUUUUAAAAAAUGUCUAGUGGAUGGAUUUCUGAAGAAGCUUCCUUAUGGAACUGGUCCUUAAGAAUCUCAUGUAAAAGUUUGAACUCCCAACAGUCAAAUAAAAAAUUAUGGUUCAUUUAAGCCACUGUAUUAUUUUGACUUAGUAUGUAAAAACAUUUAUUAGGUCAUCCACAUAAUUUAUUUGGGAAAGAUCCUUAUAUAACAACAUUUAUUAGGCUUUCGGUGUUCGCUAAAAGAAUUUCUUAAAAGUUCUUGUUCUGUUAAUUUUCCUUGAUUUUUCUGGAUUUCUUAUGUUGUUUCGGAAUUUAUGUUAUUUUUCUUUAUAUUUUAGGAUUUUGAUUCCAUUUUUUAGUAUAGGUUGAUUUUUUAGCCUAUUUAAAAGCUUUUCUAACCUUCUAAAGAAGUAGAUUUGAUCAAAUUAAUAUUUCAAGAAAAAAAGUUUUAGGAUUUUUAUUUUAACCCUAUUUCAUCAUAUUUUAUGUGUUUUUGUACUUGUUGCUGCCCUUGUUAUGUUUCCGCCUGCAUCAGUUGGUAUCAAAGUCCAACUAUUCCUAGUGGUUAAUUGUUGUGUUCUAUUGAAUAAUCAUGGUUGAAAGAGGUUGCAGAAUUGGACGUACUCGUGUCAGAGAGAAUAAGGAGGCUCUUUCUUUGGAAAAAGACAUCUUAAAACUAGUAUGUUGUUUUUAUAUGUGUCAGUUGCUAUUAUUAGAAAUUUUAAUGAUAAGGAUUCAUGAAUGAUGAGGCAACCUACACAAAAAAUAUUAUAUUAAAAAUCCACUAUGAGUCUUAAAAUAGUGUGUGAAAGUGCUCGUUUGCUUCUAAGAAACCAUGUUUUUUGCUUUUAAAACCGUUAUAUUGGAGGCAAAAUACUUUUCCGCUUUUAAAACUAUCUGGUACACCACUUUUAGAAGCGGUUUUGCAGCGAACAAAGUUUGACACUGCGGUAGGAAAGUGCUUUUGAAAAAAAAAAUUAUUUUUUUUUGCUUUAAAUUUAUAUGUUUUUUAUGUUUUCAAAUCAUUUUAAUGUGCUGAUGUCAAAAAUAAUUUUUUAAAAAAACAAAAUUAUUAUUUUAAUGUAUUUUAGAAUGAAAAACACUUUGAAAACCAACAGUUACCACACUCUCAAACACCCUCGAUCCGCUUCUAAUGACUUUUAGCAGCAAAAAAUCGAUUUUUAGAUGUGACUUUUUUAUUCUAAAAACAAUUAUUAUUAUUAACCCAUUUCCUUAAAAAUCUUAUUCUAACUCCUAAGGUAUUUUUAUCAUUUCCAUUUAUCAUCCUUUUAUAAUUAAUAUUUAUAUUUGCCAUCUCAUUUAUUUGAUAUAAACGUUAACAAAAAUUCACCACCAUAUUAUAUAUGUUCUUAAUGUCUUAUUCUAUAGUAUUGCUGUACUAUUUCUAGCUUGAAUAAAUAAUAGUAUAAGAAAUAAAAUUUAUUACCAUUUGAGUGUUUGUAUUUUUAGAAAUAUAUCAAUUGAGUGCUUUUAAUUAAUUUUAAAAGUGGAGGGGACUGACUUGAAAUGUGUAUUUAAUGAAUUCGUGAUCCAAAUUGAGAGAUAAAAGCAGAAGAAGUUGCCUUGAAGGUGAAAGCAUGAACAAUUGCUUUCAUAGCAUGGUGGUUGUUGAUGAAGAAGCUGUAAGAGUCUUCUCGUGUUCAGAAUAAUUCAGUUUAAAGGUUGAUCUCCAUGCCCUUUUAUGAAUAUAUAUAAGUAAUAAAUAAUAGAGAAAUGUUGCUUGCAAAUUAAAUAAUCAAAAGGUUCGACGAUAUUCGUUUCCUUCCUCAACUCCAACAACGGUAACAAAAAAUAAUCUCGGAAACUAAAGCUCAUGAGAGAAAAAAAAACACUGAAAAGAAACAAACAAGCCGGUUACAGAGAAAACCCGAAGAAAAAAAACUUAAUCAGGGAAGUUUCUGGUCUCAACGUAGCUGAAAAGCAGCUUGAAGCCUUGAAAGUUAACACUUGGGAAGAUCAGCUGGUGGAGGAAGCAGCUUCUGAUUGGGAAGCUUUCCAUCCAAGACAACCCAAGCCAUCUUCAAGCCCCAGCUUGUGUGCACUUCUAGAUGGCAAUGCAUGAACCAUACGCCUGGGUGAUGGCCAUCAUCCACAAAUGAUAACAUGUCAGCAAACGAAGAUGCUACGUUCAUAAACUUAAUCAUCUAAGAUAAAGAUAGGAUGUUAAUUUGCAUGUAUUGCAUAUACUAAUGAUGAUUAAUUACCAACCUGGAUUGUCUGCUAGAAACCGUAUAGCAACCCAGCCUCCAGAGGGCACUCCCACAGUAUUCCUUUCAACGGGGUCAACAAGAUUGAAAUUUGCGGGAUCCUUGCUUGGAUCAAAGUUCCCAAAACCUUGACCGACAACAAAGAAAUUGAAACCAUGCAAAUGAAGAGGGUGGCUCUCUGCACCAAGUAUGCUAGUGCCCUGCAUGAUGAGCUCCACGCUUGUGUUAAAAGGAAGAACAACUAGCUUUGUUCCAUUGCUCACCAUAGUAUUGUUCGGUGGUGUGCCAGUAUAGUUAAAAGGGAUCAGUGGACUGAUUGGAAAAUAAGGACUGUAAACACCCCUUGAUUGACCAAAAUGGUGGGCUUGGAGUAGAGCUGUGGUUGGCAUUACAAAUGAUACAUUAUUGACUGAAGCAGCAAACCUCGUUCCGUUUGGUCCCUGGCAGGUUUGGUUUUUAGAGCAUGGGUUUGUUCCAAGGCCUACAGUGAAGAAAAAUUGUCUGUCAACCUUUUGAGGAACAUUGGCAGGGAAGUCUGCACUGGCUAAGCUGCGGAGCUUGCUAGAAAAGUUUGUAGCAAAUGAAGUGUCGUUUAGUGGUGGUAGAUUUGGUUUAUAGAGUGGGAGUUUCUUGGUGGAGUGGUUUGAUUG